CCUACGGGUGGCAGCAGUGGGGAAUUUUGGACAAUGGGGGCAACCCUGAUCCAGCCAUGCCGCGUGAGUGAAGAAGGCCUUCGGGUUGUAAAGCUCUUUUGUCGGGGAGGAAAUCGCGACGGCUAAUAUCCGUCGUGGAUGACAGUACCUGAAGAAUAAGCACCGGCUAACUACGUGCCAGCAGCCGCGGUAAUACGUAGGGUGCAAGCGUUAAUCGGAAUUACUGGGCGUAAAGCGUGCGCAGGCGGUUUUUUAAGCUUGAUGUGAAAUCCCCG
rnacentral:rRNA from 1 species